GUGUGGUAGGGGCAGAGGGAAUUCCCGGUGUAGCGGUGACAUGCGUAGAUAUCGGGAAGAACACCAGUGGCGAAGGCGCUCUGCUGGGCCAUAACUGACGCUCAUGGACGAAAACCAGGGAGCGAAAGGGAUUAGAUACCCCUGUAGUCCUGGCCGUAAACGAUGAACACUAGGUGUCGGGGGAAUCGACCCCCUCGGUGUCGUAGCCAACGCGUUAAGUGUUCCGCCUGGGGAGUACGCACGCAAGUGUGAAACUCAAAGGAAUUGACGGGGGCCCGCACAAUCGGUGGAGUAAGUGGUUUAAUUCGAUGCAACGCGAAGAACCUUACCAGGGUUUGACAUCCUGCGAAUCUCUUGGAAACGAGAGAGUGCCUUCGGGAACGCAGUGACGGGUGGUGCAUGGCUGUCGUCAGCUCGUGUCGUGAGAUGUUGGGUUAAGUCCCGCAACGAGCGCAACCCACGUCGUUAGUUGCCAGCAUUUAGUUGGGCACUCUAGCGAGACCGCCGGUGAUAAACCGUAGGAAGGUGUGGAUGACGUCAAGUCAUCAUGCCCCUUACAUCCUGGGCUACACACGUACUACAAUGCUACGGACAAAGGGCAGCAAACUCGCGAGAGCUAGCUAAUCCCAUAAACCGUGGCUCAGUUCAGAUCGUAGGCUGCAACUCGCCUACGUGAAGGAGGAAUCGCUAGUAAUCGCAGGUCAGCAUACUGCGGUGAAUACGUUCCCGGGCCUUGUACACACCGCCCGUCACACCAUGGAAGUUGGCCACGCCCGAAGCCGUUUCUCCAACCCUUGUGGAGGAGGACGUCGAAGGUGGGGCUGAUGACUGGGGCGAAGUCGUAACAAGGUAGCCGUACCGGAAGGUGCGGCUGGAUCACCUCCUAA
rnacentral:rRNA from 1 species